rnacentral:misc_RNA from 1 species
AUGAAGAACGCAGCGAAAUGCGAAAAGUAAUGUGAAUUGCAGAAUUCAGUGAAUCAUCGAAUCUUUGAACGCACAUUGCGCCCGCUGGUACUCCGGCGGGCACGCCUGUCCGAGCGUCAUUUCAACCCUCAAGCCCUCCUUCGGGAUGGGCCUGGUGUUGGGGCUCGGCCGCCAUCUCCGGCGGCCGUCCCCUAAAUACAGUGGCGGUCACGUCGCGACUCCUUUGCGUAGUAGAAACACCUCGCUCCGGAUAGCAACGCGGUCCACGCCGUAAAACCACCAAUUUUCAAUGGUUGACCUCGGAUCAGGUGGGAAUACCCGCUGAACUUAAGCAUAUCAAUAAGCGGAGGA